GGAAGCGUAUCGAAGUGGUCAUAACGGGCCUGACUCGAAAUCAGGUGUACGGCAACGUACCGUGGGUUCGAAUCCCACCGCUUCCGCCA
rnacentral:tRNA from 2 species